UUAUUAUAGCAAAGAGGAUACACCUGUUCCCAUACCGAACACAGAAGUUAAGCUCUUUAGCGGCAAUGGUACUUGGUGGGCGACCGCCUGGGAGAGUAG
rnacentral:rRNA from 2 species